GCUCAACCGAAGAACUGCAUCGGAAACUGGGGAACUUGAGUGCAAAAGAGGACAGUGGAACUCCAUGUGUAGCGGUGAAAUGCGUAUAUAUAUGGAAGAACACCAGUGGCGAAGGCGGCUGUCUGGUCUGUAACUGACGCUGAGGCUCGAAAGUAUGGGUAGCAAACAGGAUUAAAUACCCUGGUACUCCAUACCGUAAACGAUGAAUGCUAAGUGUUGGAGGGUUUCCGCCCUUCAGCGCUGCAGCUAACGCAUUAAGCAUUCCGCCUGGGGAGUACGGCCGCAAGGCUGAAACUCAAAGGAAUUGACGGGGGCCCGCACAAGCGGUGGAGCAUGUGGUUUAAUUCGAAGCUACGCGAAGAACCUUACCAGGUCUUGACAUACUAUGCAAAUCUAAGAUAUUAGAUCUUCCCUUCGGGGACAUGGAUACAGGUGGUGCAUGGUUGUCCUCAGCUCGUGUCGUGAGAUGUUUGGGUUAAGUCCAGCAACGAGCGCAACCCUUAUUAUUACUUGCCAUCAUUAGGUUGGGCACUCUGGUGAGACUGCCACUGACCAACCGAAGGAAGGUGAAAAUGAAGACGAAUGUCCUGCCCCUUACGAACUGUCGCUACA
rnacentral:rRNA from 1 species